GCCCCCUUUCCACCCUCCACAUCUGCUAAAUGCAACAAGGUCAAACAAGCUCCUGCCUACAAUAUUUCCUUACUGGUGAAACUUAGGAGACUACUAGACAGGAAGUUACAGGUAGGUAGCAGCUAUCAGUGGAGGAGCGAAGGAGAAGAAACAGGCAGGGAAUACCAAAAAAAAGCAGAGAGAGAAAACAUAUAGAGAGCCAGAGUUAAAGGAGGAAUACCCGAGAAAACCAUAUCUAACAAUUACAGCACGGAAACAGGCCAUCUCGGCCCUUCUCGUCCGUGCCGAAAGGAAAAGCAAUGAUGGAUGAAGAGAGGAGAGGAUGGGAAGAUAAAAACUAUCAGUGAUUUGAAUGAAAGGGAAAAGAGGAGUAAGAGAAAGGCGUGGAAAUGUAGACAGCAAGAGUGAAGAGAGCGUAAGAGAAAGGGCCCAGAACGCCCAGAAACUGCCCCAGAUAGUCCAUUGGACCAGACUGUACAGGAGCCAGCUCGCAGUAGGCAGUCUAUAGCAGGGGAAAGGGAAAGAAAGAAAACA